rnacentral:rRNA from 1 species
CAGUCGCCGCGGGAAUACGGAGGGAGCUAGCGUUAUUCGGAAUUACUGGGCGUAAAGCGCACGUAGGCGGCUUUGUAAGUUAGAGGUGAAAGCCUGGAGCUCAACUCCAGAAUUGCCUUUAAGACUGCAUCGCUUGAAUCCAGGAGAGGUGAGUGGAAUUCCGAGUGUAGAGGUGAAAUUCGUAGAUAUUCGGAAGAACACCAGUGGCGAAGGCGGCUCACUGGACUGGUAUUGACGCUGAGGUGCGAAAGCGUGGGGAGCAAACAGGAUUAGAGACCCCAGUAGUCCCUGUCUCUUAUAC